rnacentral:rRNA from 1 species
GAUGAACGCUGGCGGCGUGCCUAAUACAUGCAAGUCGAGCGAACGGACGAGAAGCUUGCUUCUCUGAUGUUAGCGGCGGACGGGUGAGUAACACGUGGAUAACCUACCUAUAAGACUGGGAUAACUUCGGGAAACCGGAGCUAAUACCGGAUAAUAUUUUGAACCGCAUGGUUCAAAAGUGAAAGACGGUCUUGCUGUCACUUAUAGAUGGAUCCGCGCUGCAUUAGCUAGUUGGUAAGGUAACGGCUUACCAAGGCAACGAUGCAUAGCCGACCUGAGAGGGUGAUCGGCCACACUGGAACUGAGACACGGUCCAGACUCCUACGGGAGGCAGCAGUAGGGAAUCUUCCGCAAUGGGCGAAAGCCUGACGGAGCAACGCCGCGUGAGUGAUGAAGGUCUUCGGAUCGUAAAACUCUGUUAUUAGGGAAGAACAUAUGUGUAAGUAACUGUGCACAUCUUGACGGUACCUAAUCAGAAAGCCACGGCUAACUACGUGCCAGCAGCCGCGGUAAUACGUAGGUGGCAAGCGUUAUCCGGAAUUAUUGGGCGUAAAGCGCGCGUAGGCGGUUUUUUAAGUCUGAUGUGAAAGCCCACGGCUCAACCGUGGGGGGUCAUUGGAAACUGGAAAACUUGAGUGCUGAAGAGGAAAGUGGAAUUCCAUGUGUAGCGGUGAAAUGCGCAGAGAUAUGGAGGAACACCAGUGGCGAAGGCGACUUUCUGGUCUGUAACUGACGCUGAUGUGCGAAAGCGUGGGGAUCAAACAGGAUUAGAUACCCUGGUAGUCCACGCCGUAAACGAUGAGUGCUAAGUGUUAGGGGGUUUCCGCCCCUUAGUGCUGCAGCUAACGCAUUAAGCACUCCGCCUGGGGAGUACGACCGCAAGGUUGAAACUCAAAGGAAUUGACGGGGACCCGCACAAGCGGUGGAGCAUGUGGUUUAAUUCGAAGCAACGCGAAGAACCUUACCAAAUCUUGACAUCCUUUGACAACUCUAGAGAUAGAGCCUUCCCCUUCGGGGGACAAAGUGACAGGUGGUGCAUGGUUGUCGUCAGCUCGUGUCGUGAGAUGUUGGGUUAAGUCCCGCAACGAGCGCAACCCUUAAGCUUAGUUGCCAUCAUUAAGUUGGGCACUCUAAGUUGACUGCCGGUGACAAACCGGAGGAAGGUGGGGAUGACGUCAAAUCAUCAUGCCCCUUAUGAUUUGGGCUACACACGUGCUACAAUGGACAAUACAAAGGGCAGCGAAACCGCGAGGUCAAGCAAAUCCCAUAAAGUUGUUCUCAGUUCGGAUUGUAGUCUGCAACUCGACUACAUGAAGCUGGAAUCGCUAGUAAUCGUAGAUCAGCAUGCUACGGUGAAUACGUUCCCGGGUCU